CCGGCGACCGGCGCACGGGUGAGUAACACGUAUGCAACCUGGCCGUCACAGGUGGAUAACCGGAAGAAAUUCCGACUAAUACAGCAUAACACUCCUGAGGGACAUUCUUCGGGAGUCAAAGGAGGCAACUCCGGUGACGGAUGGGCAUGCGGCGCAUUAGGUAGUUGGUAGGGUAACGGCCUACCAAGCCGACGAUGCGUAGGGGUUCUGAGAGGAAGGUCCCCCACAUUGGAACUGAGACACGGUCCAAACUCCUACGGAAGGCAGCAG
rnacentral:rRNA from 1 species